GGGAAUCAGACACUGUGUGACUCACUUCAGGGUCCCCUCAAACUGACAUUAACCUUAAAAAUGAACAGGACACUGAAGGAAGAGAAGUUGAGACUCCCAAGGAGAGAAUACCCAGAGUUGGUCAGAAGAGUCGUGUGCAAACUUCUGCUAAAAGCAGCCUUCCUGUGAUCACUCAGAGAAAAAUUGAUCCAACUCUUCUGAAAGUUACUUGGCCCCCAGCCUCUCACUGGAUGUGUUAGAGGACCCCUCAGAGAAUGUUACCUUUCACAAUGCUCAGGCUCUUCUGUGAACCCACUGCAAAUGCACAUGAUGCAGCACUUCGGUUGACCUGUUGCCACCAUGUGGGAUGGACAGAUUUGUGCAGCUGCUCCAGCUGGUCACCAGGGAAAUAAUCUAGGAGCAAAAGGAAAAGACUCUGCUUCAAGUCACCUUGUUCCCAUGCUGGGGAAGUGUCCCUUCCACUCCCGGAUGUUGCUGAUAGCCUCUCCUAGAGCAAUGACCUUUCCCCCAACCCUUCAACCAGGUAAACCAGAGCAUGGAGAUAGAGUUGCACCUGUUGAAAAUAUCAGGGGUCUCUCUUUAGAAGAAGGGAACUCCUCUUUGCCCUUCCAGGAGCUUGAACUUUAUGAAUCAGAUUCCAUUAUCCAACUUCUAGAAACAAAAGGCUGGUACAGUGGGAACAGCCUGGAUGGAAAGACAUAAGGCUAGAGAGAGGCCAGCAAGGGAGGUGUAGCUGUGAAAGGUGAUGGGCUCCCAUCUCCAAAGACACAUUUUGGAAACCUCUAGAUAACCAUAUAAUGAAACUCAAUCUGGGCAAAAGUCUCAUGAGCAGCAAAUAUAUUGCCACUUAGAUAAUGUGUCAUGUGGUCACAGAUAAACAGGCUCCUGGCUUCAUCAUGGACUCAUGGUAUAAAUGUAAAAUGAGAAUAAUUCAGAGUAAAAUAGAAACUAUAAGGUUGUAUGCAAAUAUUAGUUUUAUUUUGGUAGACCAAAACAAUUAUCUAGUUAAAAAAUUACUUUAUGAAAUAGUUACUGUGAAAGGCAAGAGCUGUAGCAUAUUUGUGGUUGAGUAUAUCUUUCUCUUAGGUGCUGGCAAUAUCCAUGAGCAUGAUGAUUCUGUUCAUUUUGCUAUCUAGUAGUUCAUAUGAAUAAGUAGUUUAUGCCUUUCAUCUAAAAUCCAUCUUCAUAACUAAGCAUUUGAAAAUAGAAUGUGCCUCUCCAAUUUAGUGCUAUAUAGACAGAAAAUGAUUAAUUUGUUUUCAUUUAGUAGAAUAAACCCAGAUUAUGUAUAUAAAAC
rnacentral:lncRNA from 1 species